UGGUGUUUCUUCAGUCAUUUCGGAAAGUUUCGAUUGGAUCUGUUUUUUCUGCAAUUUUAUUGGAGGCGUUGGUGUUUCUUCAGUCAUUUCAGAAAGAUUCGAUGGGAUCUGUUCUUUCUGCAAUUCUACGGACAUUGGUGUUUUUUCAGUCAUUUCAGAAGGUUUCAAUGGUAUCUGUUCUUUCUGCAAUUCUAUGGUUGGCGUCGGUGUUUCUUCAGUCAUUUCAGAAAGUUUCAGUGGGAUCUGUUCUUUCUGCAAUUCAAUGGGAGGCGCCGGUGUUUCUUCAAUCAUUUUAGAAGGUUUCGAUGGGAUCUGUUCUUUCUGCAAUUCUUUGGUUGACGUCGGUUUUUCUUCAGUCAUUUCAGAAGAUUUCGAUGGGAUCUGUUCUUUCUGCAAUUCUAUAAGAGGCGUCGAUGCUUCUUCAGUCAUUUCAGAAAGUUUGGAUGGGAUCGGUUCAACCUUUUCU
rnacentral:lncRNA from 1 species